rnacentral:rRNA from 1 species
UACGGAGGAUGCAAACGUUGCUCGGAAUCAUUGGGCGUAAAGCGCACGUAGGCGGUCGGCUAUGUCGGAUGUGAAAGCCUCGGGCUUAACCCGAGAAGGGCAUCCGAAACUGGCCGGCUUGAGUACGGAAGAGGGUCUCGGAAUUCCCGGUGUAGAGGUGAAAUUCGUAGAUAUCGGGAGGAAACACCAGUGGCGAAGGCGGAGACCUGGGCCGAUACUGACGCUGAGGUGCGAAAGCGUGGGGGAGCAAACAGGG